CAUGCCAAUGGCACUGCCCGGUAGCUAAAUGCGGAAGAGAUAAGUGCUGAAAGCAUCUAAGCACGAAACUUGCCCCGAGAUGAGUUCUCCCUGACUCCUUGAGAGUCCUGAAGGAACGUUGAAGACGACGACGUUGAUAGGCCGGGUGUGUAAGCGCAGCGAUGCGUUGAGCUAACCGGUACUAAUGAACCGUGAGGCUUAACCUUACAACGCCGAAGCUGUU
rnacentral:rRNA from 1 species